rnacentral:rRNA from 1 species
CCUACGGGAGGCAGCAGUAAGGAAUAUUGGUCAAUGGGCGCAAGCCUGAACCAGCCAUGCCGCGUGCAGGAAGACGGCCCUAUGGGUUGUAAACUGCUUUUGAACAAGAGAAAACCUCGGUACGUGUACCGAGCUGAUAGUAUUGUUAGAAUAAGCAUCGGCUAACUUCGUGCCAGCAGCCGCGGUAAGACGAAGGAUGCAAGCGUUAUCCGGAUUCAUUGGGUUUAAAGGGUGCGUAGGCGGCCUGAUAAGUCAGUGGUGAAAUCUCUCAGCUUAACUGAGAAACUGCCAUUGAUACUGUCGGGCUUGAGUACAGAUGAUGUGGGCGGAAUAUGACAUGUAGUGGUGAAAUACUUAGAUAUGUCAUAGAACACCGAUUGCGAAGGCAGCUCACAAAACUGUAAACUGACGCUGAGGCACGAAAGUGCGGGGAUCAAACAGGAUUAGAUACCCUGUAGUCCGCACCGUAAACGAUAGAUUACUCGUUGUUGGCAAUAUGACCGUCAGCGACCAAGCGAAAGCGANAAGUAAUCCACCCUGGGGAGUACGCCGGCACGGUGAAACUUAAAUAGAAUUGAGGCGNGAGAGNGCGAGGACGACACGAGGGAGGAGG